UUGCGGCGUGCCUAAUACAUGCAAGUCGAACGCUUCUUUCCUCCCGAGUGCUUGCACUCAAUUGGAAAGAGGAGUGGCGGACGGGUGAGUAACACGUGGGUAACCUACCCAUCAGAGGGGGAUAACACUUGGAAACAGGUGCUAAUACCGCAUAACAGUUUAUGCCGCAUGGCAUAAGAGUGAAAGGCGCUUUCGGGUGUCGCUGAUGGAUGGACCCGCGGUGCAUUAGCUAGUUGGUGAGGUAACGGCUCACCAAGGCCACGAUGCAUAGCCGACCUGAGAGGGUGAUCGGCCACACUGGGACUGAGACACGGCCCAGACUCCUACGGGAGGCAGCAGUAGGGAAUCUUCGGCAAUGGACGAAAGUCUGACCGAGCAACGCCGCGUGAGUGAAGAAGGUUUUCGGAUCGUAAAACUCUGUUGUUAGAGAAGAACAAGGACGUUAGUAACUGAACGUCCCCUGACGGUAUCUAACCAGAAAGCCACGGCUAACUACGUGCCAGCAGCCGCGGUAAUACGUAGGUGGCAAGCGUUGUCCGGAUUUAUUGGGCGUAAAGCGAGCGCAGGCGGUUUCUUAAGUCUGAUGUGAAAGCCCCCGGCUCAACCGGGGAGGGUCAUUGGAAACUGGGAGACUUGAGUGCAGAAGAGGAGAGUGGAAUUCCAUGUGUAGCGGUGAAAUGCGUAGAUAUAUGGAGGAACACCAGUGGCGAAGGCGGCUCUCUGGUCUGUAACUGACGCUGAGGCUCGAAAGCGUGGGGAGCAAACAGGAUUAGAUACCCCUGGUAGUCCACGCCGUAAACGAUGAGUGCUAAGUGUUGGAGGGUUUCCGCCCUUCAGUGCUGCAGCAAACGCAUUAAGCACUCCGCCUGGGGAGUACGACCGCAAGGUUGAAACUCAAAGGAAUUGACGGGGAGCCCGCACAAGCGGUGGAGCAUGUGGUUUAAUUCGAAGCAACGCGAAGAACCUUACCAGGUCUUGACAUCCUUUGACCACUCUAGAGAUAGAGCUUUCCCUUCGGGGACAAAGUGACAGGUGGUGCAUGGUUGUCGUCAGCUCGUGUCGUGAGAUGUUGGGUUAAGUCCCGCAACGAGCGCAACCCUUAUUGUUAGUUGCCAUCAUUUAGUUGGGCACUCUAGCGAGACUGCCGGUGACAAACCGGAGGAAGGUGGGGAUGACGUCAAAUCAUCAUGCCCCUUAUGACCUGGGCUACACACGUGCUACAAUGGGAAGUACAACGAGUCGCUAGACCGCGAGGUCAUGCAAAUCUCUUAAAGCUUCUCUCAGUUCGGAUUGCAGGCUGCAACUCGCCUGCAUGAAGCCGGAAUCGCUAGUAAUCGCGGAUCAGCACGCCGCGGUGAAUACGUUCCCGGGCCUUGUACACACCGCCCGUCACACCACGAGAGUUUGUAACACCCGAAGUCGGUGAGGUAACCUUUUAGGAGCCAGCCGCCUAAGGUGGGAUAGAUGAU
rnacentral:rRNA from 1 species